rnacentral:rRNA from 1 species
AUUGAACGCUGGCGGCAAGCCUAACACAUGCAAGUCGAACGAGUGGCGGACGGGUGAGUAAUGUCUGGGAAACUGCCCGAUGGAGGGGGAUAACUACUGGAAAGGGUAGCUAAUACCGCAUACCAUCGGAUGUGCCCAGAUGGGAUUAGUUAGUAGGUGGGGUAAAGGCUCACAUAGGCAACGAUCCCUAGCUUGUUUGAGAGGAUGACCGGCCCCACUGGGACUGGGACACGGUCCAGACUCCGACGGGAGGCAGAGGUGGGGAAUAUUGGACAAUGGGGGAAAGCCUGAUGCAGCCAUGCCGCGUGUAUGAGGAAGGCCUUCGGGUUGUAAAGUACUUUCGGCGGGGAGGCGUUACCCGCAGAAGAAGCACCGGCUAACUCCGUGCCAGCAGCCGCGGUAAUAC